rnacentral:rRNA from 1 species
GACAGAGGUGCCAAGCGUUAGGCGGAAUCACUGGGCUUAAAGCGUGUGUAGGCGGAAUUGUAAGUACCUUGUGAAAUCCCACGGCUCAACCGUGGAACUGCUCGGUAUACUGCUUUUCUUGAGCCACUUAGGGGCUGUCGGAACAAACGGUGGAGCGGUGAAAUGCGUAGAUAUCAGGAAGAACACCGGUGGCGAAGGCGCUCUGCUAGGCCGUAACUGACACUGAGGGACGAAAGCUAGGGGAGCGAAUGGG